rnacentral:rRNA from 1 species
CGCGGACCGUACCGCAAACCGACACUGGUGGGCGAGCUGAAUAUGCUCAGGCGCUUGAGAGAACUCGGGAGAAGGAACUCGGCAAAUUGACACCGUAACUUCGGAAGAAGGUGUGCCGUAGUACCGUGAGAGGAGAGACACCUUGAGCGGGAAUCGGUCUCAGAGAAUAGGUGGCUGCGACUGUUUAUUAAAAACACAGCACUCUGCAAAGUCGAAAGACGACGUAUAGGGUGUGAUGCCUGCCCGGUGCUGGAAGAUUAAUUGAUGGGGUGAGAGCCCUUGAUCGAAGUCCCAGUAAACGGCGGCCGUAACUAUAACGGUCCUAAGGUAGCGAAAUUCCUUGUCGGGUAAGUUCCGACCUGCACGAAUGGCAUAACGAUGGCCACACUGUCUCCUCCCGAGACUCAGUGAAGUUGAAAUGUUUGUGAUGAUGCAAUCUACCCGCGGCUAGACGGAAAGACCCCAUGAACCUUUACUGCAGCUUUGCAUUGAACUGUGAACCGAUUUGUGUAGGAUAGGUGGGAGGCAGAGAAGAGGCCACGCCAGUGGUCUUGGAGCCGACCUUGAAAUACCACCCUGAUUUGUUUGCGGUUCUAACCACGGACAGUGAUCCUGUCUUGGGACCGUGCAUGGUAGGCAGUUUGACUGGGGCGGUCUCCUCCUAAAGGGUAACGGAGGAGUACGAAGGUACGCUAGGUACGGUCGGAAAUCGUGCUGAUAGUGCAAUGGCAAAAGCGUGCUUGACUGCGAGAGCAACAACUCGAGCAGAUGCGAAAGCAGGUCAUAGUGAUCCGGUGGCUCUGAAUGGAAGGGCCAUCGCUCAACGGAUAAAAGGUACUCUGGGGAUAACAGGCUGAUACCGCCCAAGAGUUCAUAUCGACGGCGGUGUUUGGCACCUCGAUGUCGGCUCAUCUCAUCCUGGGGCUGUAGUCGGUCCCAAGGGUAUGGCUGUUCGCCAUUUAAAGAGGUACGUGAGCUGGGUUUAAAACGUCGUGAGACAGUUUGGUCCCUAUCUGCCGUGGGCGUUGGAAGAUUGACGGGGGCUGCUCCUAGUACGAGAGGACCGGAGUGGACGCACCUCUGGUGUACCGGUUGUCACGCCAGUGGCAUUGCCGGGUAGCUAAGUGCGGAAGAGAUAACCGCUGAAAGCAUCUAAGCGGGAAACUUGCCUGAAGAUGAGUCUUCCCGGAGGUCCUUCCCAUCCCGAACAGGACAGUGAAACGCCUCCACGCCCAUGAUAGUGAGUUGUAUUUCUUGCGAAAGUAGGUAGUCUCCGGGCUCUCCAUAAAAGACAAACCUCUUGGACCU